rnacentral:rRNA from 1 species
CUUUCCCUCUGUCGGCAUGCCUUACACAUGCAAGUCGAACGGCAGCAUGAUCUAGCUUGCUAGAUUGAUGGCGAGUGGCGAACGGGUGAGUAAUACAUCGGAACGUGCCCUGUAGUGGGGGAUAACUAGUCGAAAGAUUAGCUAAUACCGCAUACGACCUGAGGGUGAAAGUGGGGGACCGCAAGGCCUCAUGCUAUAGGAGCGGCCGAUGUCUGAUUAGCUAGUUGGUGAGGUAAAGGCUCACCAAGGCGACGAUCAGUAGCUGGUCUGAGAGGACGAUCAGCCACACUGGGACUGAGACACGGCCCAGACUCCUACGGGAGGCAGCAGUGGGGAAUUUUGGACAAUGGGCGAAAGCCUGAUCCAGCAAUGCCGCGUGUGUGAAGAAGGCCUUCGGGUUGUAAAGCACUUUUGUCCGGAAAGAAAUGGCUCUGGUUAAUACCUGGGGUCGAUGACGGUACCGGAAGAAUAAGGACCGGCUAACUACGUG